rnacentral:rRNA from 1 species
GAUCCUGGCUCAGAAUCAACGCUGGCGGCGUGCCUAACACAUGCAAGUCGAACGAGAAAGGGACUUCGGUCCUGAGUAAAGUGGCGCACGGGUGAGUAACACGUGACUAACCUACCCUGGAGUGGGGGAUAACUGAGGGAAACCUUAGCUAAUACCGCAUAAUACCUACGGGUCAAAGGAGCAAUUCGCUUCAGGAGGGGGUCGCGGCCGAUUAGUUAGUUGGCGGGGUAAUGGCCCACCAAGACGAUGAUCGGUAUCCGGCCUGAGAGGGCGCACGGACACACUGGAACUGAAACACGGUCCAGACUCCUACGGGAGGCAGCAGUGGGGAAUUUUGCGCAAUGGGGGAAACCCUGACGCAGCAACGCCGCGUGGAGGAUGAAGUACUUCGGUACGUAAACUCCUUUCGAUCGGGACGAUAAUGACGGUACCGAGAGAAGAAGCCCCGGCUAACUUCGUGCCAGCAGCCGCGGUAAUACGAGGGGGGCGAGCGUUGUUCGGAAUUAUUGGGCGUAAAGGGUGCGUAGGCGGUUUGGUAAGUCUUAUGUGAAAUCUACAGGCUCAACUUGUAGUCUGCAUGAGAAACUGCCGGGCUUGAGUAUGGGAGAGGUGAGUGGAAUUCCUGGUGUAGCGGUGAAAUGCGUAGAUAUCAGGAGGAACACCUGUGGCGAAAGCGGCUCACUGGACCAU